AAUUUGUGUUUUCAAAUAAUUCAAUCAAUCAAUACAUGAUGUGAAGUAUUUAUAUUCAUGUUGUUUUUACCAAGAGUGUUUGUCGUUUGCGAUAUGUUUUACAAAUCUCGGCAAGUGAAAGGGAUUACCUACCAACCUCACUUUCGUUUUCAGUUCCUGAUGAAGCCAAUAAAGCCUCGAAAGACCUAAAAAGAACAAGUCACACAUAGAAAUGGAUGAUAGAUCAGGUAUCGACAAACUAACAUGCGGAUCAUGCCCAAAAGUUCGUGUAGAAAAGACUUCAAGACAUGUUCAAACGAGAAUCUCCGAACAUGAAAAAAGUUUUGAACUGAAGAAGAACAAUUCCACCUAUGCGUGCAACCUUUUGGAGAAAAAUCACGAUUUGAACACUAUCUACGACAUACUCAAUAUAGAAAAUAAAUUAUAGAAAUUGAACCUGCUGGAGUCUCCGGAAAUCAAUAGGGGCAAACAUUUAAAUUCCCUAUUGAACGGCCAACGAGAGGUUAACUACUCACCAUUGUUGAACCUUUCUUCAUAAUGCCAAUAAUUUUGUAAAUAUUCAAAAUCAACCUUCUUUCCAAGAACUGAGAUUGUAAUUGUUUUGCAAAUCCUUCUGGUUUUCUCAAAAUUUACCUACUGUCCAAGAACUUCUACUUCUAGAAAUUCUACCUGUUACCUCAUUUACUAGUAACCAUUUGAGUAAGGUAACUCACUGUUGUAUAUGAGGAUUCUAUGUAAGUAUAUGAGAAUGUUUCAAGAAUAUUUAAAAUCUAGACGAUUUUCGUGUCUAGCUGUAGAUCAUAUUUUUAGGAGAUCUAUGACUAUUUACUACAAUUGAAUUAGACUUCUGGUAAGCGUUUUCGAUAAAAGUUCACAGACUUCGCAUGAA